rnacentral:rRNA from 1 species
CUACCUACGGACGCAGCAGUGGGGAAUAUUGGACAAUGGGGGGAACCCUGAUCCAGCGACGCCGCGUGAGUGAAGAAGUAUUUGGGUAUGUAAAGCUCUAUCAGCAGGGAAGAAAAAAGACGGUACCUGACUAAGAAGCCCCGGCUAACUACGUGCCAGCAGCCGCGGUAAUACGUAGGGGGCAAGCGUUAUCCGGAUUUACUGGGUGUAAAGGGAGCGUAGACGGCAUAGCAAGUCUGAAGUGAAAGCCCGUGGCUCAACCGCGGAACUGCUUUGGAAACUGCUAAGCUGGAGUACUGGAGAGG